rnacentral:rRNA from 1 species
GACGAACGCUGGCGGCGCGCCUAACACAUGCAAGUCGAACGAGAGAUGAGGAGCUUGCUCUUCAAAUCGAGUGGCGAACGGGUGAGUAACGCGUGAGGAACCUGCCUCAAAGAGGGGGACAACAGUUGGAAACGACUGCUAAUACCGCAUAAGCCCACGGCUCGGCAUCGAGCAGAGGGAAAAGGAGCAAUCCGCUUUGAGAUGGCCUCGCGUCCGAUUAGCUAGUUGGUGAGGUAAUGGCCCACCAAGGCGACGAUCGGUAGCCGGACUGAGAGGUUGAACGGCCACAUUGGGACUGAGACACGGCCCAGACUCCUACGGGAGGCAGCAGUGGGGAAUAUUGCACAAUGGGGGAAACCCUGAUGCAGCGACGCCGCGUGGAGGAGGAAGGUCUUCGGAUUGUAAACUCCUGUUGUUGAGGAAGAUAAUGACGGUACUCAACAAGGAAGUGACGGCUAACUACGUGCCAGCAGCCGCGGUAAAACGUAGGUCACAAGCGUUGUCCGGAAUUACUGGGUGUAAAGGGAGCGCAGGCGGGAGAACAAGUUGGAAGUGAAAUCCAUGGGCUCAACCCAUGAACUGCUUUCAAAACUGUUUUUCUUGAGUAGUGCAGAGGUAGGCGGAAUUCCCGGUGUAGCGGUGGAAUGCGUAGAUAUCGGGAGGAACACCAGUGGCGAAGGCGGCCUACUGGGCACCAACUGACGCUGAGGCUCGAAAGUGUGGGUAGCAAACAGGAUUAGAUACCCUGGUAGUCCACACCGUAAACGAUGAUUACUAGGUGUUGGAGGAUUGACCCCUUCAGUGCCGCAGUUAACACAAUAAGUAAUCCACCUGGGGAGUACGACCGCAAGGUUGAAACUCAAAGGAAUUGACGGGGGCCCGCACAAGCAGUGGAGUAUGUGGUUUAAUUCGACGCAACGCGAAGAACCUUACCAAGUCUUGACAUCCCUUGACGAACAUAGAAAUAUGUUUUCUCUUCGGAGCAAGGAGACAGGUGGUGCAUGGUUGUCGUCAGCUCGUGUCGUGAGAUGUUGGGUUAAGUCCCGCAACGAGCGCAACCCUUAUGGUCAGUUACUACGUAAGAGGACUCUGGCCAGACUGCCGUUGACAAAACGGAGGAAGGUGGGGAUGACGUCAAAUCAUCAUGCCCUUUAUGACUUGGGCUACACACGUACUACAAUGGCGUUAAACAAAGAGAAGCAAGACCGCGAGGUGGAGCAAAACUCAGAAACAACGUCCCAGUUCGGACUGCAGGCUGCAACUCGCCUGCACGAAGUCGGAAUUGCUAGUAAUCGUGGAUCAGCAUGCCACGGUGAAUACGUUCCCGGGCCUU